rfam:Glycine max cultivar Williams 82 chromosome 4, whole genome shotgun sequence.
ACAUCGGUUUUUCUAAAAACCAAUGUUGUUUUUUUACAUAUUUUAU